GUGAGAUUGGCGGAAACGAUCAGUUCGAAGUGCGUGUCUCGCGGUUUAGGACGUGGUUUAUUCGGGUCCCGGUUUUUCAUUGAGGAGAGAUUGUUCGUCGGACUUUAUUGGCGUCCCAACAUGAGGAAAACGAAAGGAUCAAGGAGGAACACAAAUAUGGAAGAGUCUUCCUGUUCAAAAGAAAUCAAUGUGAGCCGAUCAUCACCAACGGCUGCACGAGAGAAAGCCACUCCUUGGAAGCAUAUGAAGCACAAGUUUCCAAGACAUGAAAGGAAGGGCAAUGGUUGUGGUGACGUUGGUCAUAACAUGGAAGGAAAGAUGAGUGAGUCUUCCCAUUCAGAAGACAUCGGUGUGAAUCAGUCAUCCACAUCAAUUAAUCCAAACAGAGCACCACUUUGGAAACGUCUGAAGUUUUUGUUCAGGAGACACAAAAAGAAGAAGGCUUGCAGUGACUCUGGAUGCAUCAUGGAAGGAAAUAUGAAUGAGUCUUCCCAUUCAGAAGACAUCUUUGUGGAUCAGUCAUCCACAUCAACGAAUCCAAAAAAAGCAUCUGUUUCGAUACGUCUGAAGAGACACGAAAAGAAGGAGAAGACUUGCAGUGAUGAUGAAUAUAUCACGGAAGGAAAUAUGAACGAGUCUUCCCAUUCAGAAGACAUCAUUGUGGAUCAGUUAUCCCCAUCAAUGAAUCCAAACAGAGCAUCACUUUGGAAACAUCGAGAGGAAGGAAAGAUGAGUGAGUCUUCCCAUUCAGAAGACAUCGGUGUGAAUCAGUCAUUCACAUCAAUGCAUCCAAAAAAAGCAUCGCUUUGGGAACGUCUGAAGCUUUUGUUCAUUAGACGUCAAAAGAAGGGCAACGCUUGUAAUAAAGGACAGAUCACGUACGUACAAGAAAAUAUUCCUGUGCAAUGUUGUGACAUGAAACGUACUCUCUUCACUUUUUUACACUUGUUUUUGGAUAUAUACUUCAGAAAAUAUCCAAGGAAUUGACUUUUCAAUCUUUUUAAACUUAGGUUUAAAGUCAACAAAUAUGAAUACAUGAAGAAGAAGAAGAAGAAGAAGAAGAAGAAGGGUUUUGAAUAUAAACGCAAGUUUCGUUGCUUGGUGGUAAGAGAAAAUAUUCCUUCUGGAUGUCGUGACCUGAAAUGUAUCUGAAUGAGAAAUGGUAUUCCCUUGAAAGGAGAUUAAAGCUAACCUUGUCAUGUUUCAGGUCAUCUUCCAUCUGCUUGGAAGCCAGCUUAUAUCACCUCCGUUAACCAAUCUUGCUGCUUAUGUAUGGCACGAGCAAAAAUCACUUCUGCUUCACUGUGAAGCUCAGUGUUGGAUCCUUUUGUUUAAACCUCCCCUUAAAAUGAAUGAAAUUGAACAUUUUGAAUUAUUUUCACUCAGAUUUCAACAUCACCGUAAUGCAUAUCAUCAAG
rnacentral:lncRNA from 1 species